rnacentral:rRNA from 1 species
UACAGAGGGUGCGAGCGUUGUCCGGAAUUACUGGGCGUAAAGAGCUCGUAGGGUGGUUUGUCGCGUUGUCCGUGAAAACUCACAACUCAAUUGUGGGCGUGCGGGCGAUACGGGCAGACUGGAGUACUGCAGGGGGAGACUGGAAUUCCUGGUGUAGCGGUGGAAUGCGCAGAUAUCAGGAGGAACACCGGUGGCGAAGGCGGGGUCUCUGGGGCAGUAACUGACGCUGAGGAGCGAAAAGCGUGGGGGAGCGAAACAGGG